AACGAACGCUGGCGGCAGGCUUAACACAUGCAAGUCGAGCGCCCCGCAAGGGGAGCGGCAGACGGGUGAGUAACGCGUGGGAAUCUACCCAUCUCUACGGAAUAACGCAUGGAAACGUGUGCUAAUACCGUAUACGUCCUUCGGGAGAAAGAAUUAUCGGAGAUGGAUGAGCCCGGGUUGGAUUAGCUAGUUGGUGGGGUAAAGGCCUACCAAGGCGACGAUCCAUAGCUGGUCUGAGAGGAUGAUCAGCCACACUGGGACUGAGACACGGCCCAGACUCCUACGGGAGGCAGCAGUGGGGAAUAUUGGACAAUGGGCGCAAGCCUGAUCCAGCCAUGCCGCGUGAGUGAUGAAGGCCCUAGGGUUGUAAAGCUCUUUCACCGGUGAAGAUAAUGACGGUAACCGGAGAAGAAGCCCCCGCUAACUUCGUGCCAGCCGCCGCCGUAAUAC
rnacentral:rRNA from 1 species